rnacentral:rRNA from 1 species
UACCAGACUCCUACGGGAGGCAGCAGUGGGGGAUAUUGCACAAUGGGGGGAACCCUGAUGCAGCGACGCCGCGUGGGUGAAGAAGUAUUUCGGUAUGUAAAGCUCUAUCAGCAGGGAAGAAAAUGACGGUACCUGACCAAGAAGCCCCGGCUAACUACGUGCCAGCAGCCGCGGUAAUACGUAGGGGGCAAGCGUUAUCCGGAUUUACUGGGUGUAAAGGGAGCGUAGACGGCCAGACAAGUCAGAAGUGAAAGCCCAGGGCUCAACCCUGGGACUGCUUUUGAAACUGCCGGGCUGGAGUGCAGGAGAGGUAAGCGGAAUUCCUAGUGUAGCGGUGAAAUGCGUAGAUAUUAGGAGGAACACCGGCGGCGAAGGCGGCCUGCUGGACCGAAACUGACGUUGAGGCUCGAAAGCGUGGGGAGCAAACAGGAUUAGAUACCCCCGUA